AUUGAACGCUGGCGGCAUGCCUUACACAUGCAAGUCGAACGGUAACGCGGGGCAACCUGGCGACGAGUGGCGAACGGGUGAGUAAUGCAUCGGAACGAGCCCGGUAGUGGGGGAUAACUGCUCGAAGGAGCAGCUAAUACCGCAUACGACCUGAGGGUGAAAGGGGGGGAUCGCAAGACCCCUCGCUAUCGGAGCGGCCGAUGUCGGAUUAGCUAGUUGGUGGGGUAAAGGCCUACCAAGGCGACGAUCCGUAGCUGGUCCGAGAGGACGACCAGCCACACUGGGACUGAGACACGGCCCAGACUCCUACGGGAGGCAGCAGUGGGGAAUUUUGGACAAUGGACGCAAGUCUGAUCCAGCCAUGCCGCGUGCGGGAAGAAGGCCUUCGGGUUGUAAACCGCUUUUGUCAGGGAAGAAAUCUUCUGAGUUAAUACCUCGGGAGGAUGACGGUACCUGAAGAAUAAGCACCGGCUAACUACGUGCCAGCCGCCGCGGUAAAAC
rnacentral:rRNA from 1 species